rnacentral:rRNA from 1 species
UACGGAGGGUGCAAGCGUUAUCCGGAUUUACUGGGUUUAAAGGGUGCGUAGGUGGGUAGGUAAGUCAGUGGUGAAAUCUUCGAGCUUAACUCGGAAACUGCCAUUGAUACUAUUUAUCUUGAAUACUCUGGAGGUAAGCGGAAUAUGUCAUGUAGCGGUGAAAUGCUUAGAUAUGACAUAGAACACCAAUUGCGAAGGCAGCUUACUACAUAGUUAUUGACACUGAGGCACGAAAGCGCGGGGAUCAAACAGG